UACGUAGGGGGCAAGCGUUAUCCGGAAUUACUGGGUGUAAAGGGUGAGUAGGCGUCAUGGUAAGCCAGAUGUGAAAGCCUUGGGCUUAACCCGAGGAUUGCAUUUGGAACUAUCAAGCUAGAGUACAGGAGAGGAAAGCGGAAUUCCUAGUGUAGCGGUGAAAUGCGUAGAUAUUAGGAAGAACACCAGUGGCGAAGGCGGCUUUCUGGACUGAAACUGACGCUGAGGCACGAAAGCGUGGGGAGCGAACAGG
rnacentral:rRNA from 1 species